UACAGAGGUCUCAAGCGUUGUUCGGAUUCAUUGGGCGUAAAGGGUGCGUAGGUGGCGCCGUAAGUCGGAUGUGAAAUUUCGGAGCUUAACUCCGAAACUGCAUUCGAUACUGCGGUGCUUGAGGACUGGAGAGGAGACUGGAAUUCAUGGUGUAGCAGUGAAAUGCGUAGAGAUCAUGAGGAAGACCAGUGGCGAAGGCGGGUCUCUGGACAGUUCCUGACACUGGAGGCACGAAGGCCCAGGGGAGCAAACGGG
rnacentral:rRNA from 1 species